AUUGAACGCUGGCGGCAGGCUUAACACAUGCAAGUCGAGCGGAGAUGAGGUGCUUGCACCUUAUCUUAGCGGCGGACGGGUGAGUAAUGCUUAGGAAUCUGCCUAUUAGUGGGGGACAACAUUCCGAAAGGAAUGCUAAUACCGCAUACGCCCUACGGGGGAAAGCAGGGGAUCUUCGGACCUUGCGCUAAUAGAUGAGCCUAAGUCGGAUUAGCUAGUUGGUGGGGUAAAGGCCUACCAAGGCGACGAUCUGUAGCGGGUCUGAGAGGAUGAUCCGCCACAAGGGGACUGAGACACGGCCCAGACUCCUACGGGAGGCAGCAGUGGGGAAUAUUGGACAAUGGGCGGAAGCCUGAUCCAGCCAUGCCGCGUGUGUGAAGAAGGCCUUUUGGUUGUAAAGCACUUUAAGCGAGGAGGAGGCUACCUGGAUUAAUACUCUAGGAUAGUGGACGUUACUCGCAGAAUAAGCACCGGCUAACUCUGUGCCAGCCGCCGCAGUAACAC
rnacentral:rRNA from 1 species